GUGUAUGUCGCCAACAGGAUCCAUGUUGUAGAAGCUCAGUAUUUCAGGUGUUCUAUUUUGUAUGGCAGGGGGAUCCCGAACCAUAGACAUAGAAUACCUAGACGCCGCAUUCUGUGCUGAGCGGCGAGGAAUGCGGCAGCCAUCUUGGACCGGUAGCCGCUCUACUGACGCUAUUGAAGAACCCUUAGAAAGCCCAUCUCACAAAAGGUAAGUGAAGGACUUGGGGCACUUAAUACCCCUACCCCAUGUCAUUAAAGGACCACUAUAGGCACCCAGACCACUUCAGCUCAAUGAAGUGGUCUGGGUGCCUGGUCCAUCUAGAAUUAACCCUUUUUUUUGUUUUUCUAUAAACAUAGCAGUUUCAGAGAAACUGUUAUGUUUAUAAUAGGGUUAAUCCAGCCUGUAGUGGCUGUCUCAUUGACAGCCGCUAGAGGCGCUUCCGCGCUUCUCACUGUGAAAAUCACAGUGAGAAGACACCAGCGUCCAUAGGAAAGCAUUAUGAAUGCGACUGGCUGAAUGCGCGCGCAGCUCCUGCCGCGCAUGCGCAUUCAGCCGAAGAGGCGGAGAGGGGGAGGAGAGCUCCCCGCCCGGCGCUGGAGAAAGAGGUAAGUUUAACCUCUUCAACCCCCUAGAGCCCGGCGGGAGGGGGACCCUGAGGGUGGGGGCACCCUCAGGGCACUAUAGUGCCAGGAAAACAAGUAUGUUUUCCUGGCACUAUAGUGGUCCUUUAAUACCCCUACCCCUAUAGUGUUAAUACCCCUACCCCUAGUCUUCAAUACCCCUACCCCUUAAUACCCCUAGUCUUCAAUACCCCUACCCCUAGUCUUCAAUACCCCUAGUCCUACCCCUUAAUAACCCUACCCCUACAGUGUUAAUACCCCUAUCCCAGCACACAUAGUCAUUAAUACCCCUACCCCAGCACACACAGUGUUAAUACCCCUACCCCAGCACACACCCCUACCCCAGUGUUAGUCAUUAAUACCCCUACCCCAGCACACACAGUGUUAAUACCCCUACCCACACAUAGCACCCCUACCCCAGCACACAUAGUGUUAAUACCCCUACCCCAGCACAUCAUUACUACCCCUACCCCAGCACACACACUGUUAAUACCCCUACCCCAGCACACAUAGUGUUAAUACCCCUACCCCAGCCUAUCCCAGCACACAUAGUCAUUAAUACCGCUACCCCAGCACACACAGUGUUCAUACCCAUACCCCAGCACACAGUGUUAAUACCCCUACCCCAGCACACAUAGUGUUAAUAACCCUACCCCAGCCUAUCCCAGCACUCAUAGUCAUUAAUACCCCUACCCCAGCACACACAGUGUUAAUACCCAAUACCCCAGCACACACAGUGUUAAUACCCCUACCCCAGCACACAUAGUGUUAAUACCCCUACCCCAGCACACAUAGUGUUAAUACCCCUACCCCAGCACAUAUAGUCAUUACUACCCCUACCCCAGCACACACAGUGUUCAUACCCCUACCCCAGCACACAUAGUGUUAAUACCCCUACCCCAGCCUAUCCCAGCACUCAUAGUCAUUAAUACCCCAUACCCCAGCACACACAGUGUUAAUACCCCAUACCCCAGCACACAUAGUCAUUAAUACCCCUACCCCAGCACACAGUGUUAAUACCCCUACCCCAGCACAUAUAGUCAUUACUACCCCUACCCCAGCACACAUAGUGUUAAUACAUAGUGUGCUGGGGUAGGGGUAUUAACACUGUGUGUGCUGGGGUAGGGGUAUUAACACUGUGUGUGCUGGGGUAGGGGUAUUAAUGACUAUGAGUGCUGGGAUAGGCUGGGGUAUGGGUAUUAACACUGUAGGGGUAGGGGUAUUAGUGACAUGGGGUAGGGGUAUUAAGGGGUAGGGGUAUUGAAGACUAGGGGUAGGGGUAUUAAGUGUCCCAAGUCCUUCACUUACCUUUUGUGAGAUGGACUUUCUAAGGGUUCUUCAAUAGCUUCAGUAGAGCGGCGACUGGUCCAAAAUGGCUGCCUCAUUCCUCGCCGCUCAGCACAGAAUGCGGCGUCUAGGUAUUCUAUGUCUAUGUCCAGCACGGUUAUUAAACUAUACAGAGAGUUCAUUCUGAGUAAUUCCAUGACAAGUAUUGCUGAGUGCAGUAGAAUGGAUGGCAGCAUUAAGGAUACAGUAUAUGAAACGAUUGUGUGUUUCUCUCUAGUGUUUACAUCUAGAUGUUGCCAACUCUGCUCAUUAUCACGUGAUUUCAUUAUCAUGUGACCUCAUCGACAAACAUUAUUACCGGAAAAGACGUCAAUAGAUUUUCGAAAUAAAGUUGCCAAAAAUGAUAGGGUUAUUGACUAAAGUGAGACAUGAAAGUAAAUUCAAACUGAAUUUUAAAUUGUUGGCCAAAGUUAAAGUAUAGCUGAUAGGGAGAAUGUUUGACUAUUUUACCUGGUCCGUUUAUCGGGGAUAACUUAUGUUUAAAAAAAAAAAAAAGUUCUGGGCAAGUCCCUGUUUGAGUCCUAGCCUAGAGCUGAGGGAGGGGGUUAGUGAGCCCAAACAUUCUUUAACACAUUCAGGACUAUGGCAAUUGCAGAAAUUAAUUUCAGGGAGGUGGCUCCCCCAGCUACGGCACCCCCACCCCACGCGUGCGCGUCAUCCCACUCCCAUGCACAUACAGCCAUCAAACAUGUAUAAACACCUCGACACACAGAUACACACACUGACACACUCAGAUACACACACUGGUGCAUUCACACACUCUGAUACACACAGCGGCACAUACAUUCAGUUACACACUCAGAUAAACACACUAGCACAUAUACACACGUCAUACUUUAUACAUUUGCAGCCACCCUUCUGUUAACUCACCUUUGUGUCCAGGAGGUUGGCUUGCUUGGAGUUCUGGUCCUGGCUGAGGCUGAUGGGAAUAAAAACAGAAAUAAGGGCUGUGCCACAAAGGACCAAUAAAAUAUAGGAAAAUAUGAUGAUAAACCAAAUAUACAGUCUUUAGUUAAAUAAUUGAAAGUGACCAAAAUAUCUUUAAUAAAUAAAUACACAGUAUAAAAAAUCCAUAUCUACUAAGCAACUGAAACAGUAAAAUUAAGAAAAUUGCCUUUUAUUCUUAAUAGAUAAGUCCCUUGCCAUCCUUAUGAAAACAAUAUGGAUUUUUUAUACUGUGUAUUUAUUUAUUAAAGAUAUUUUGGUCACUUUCAAUUGUGCCCUCAUCUUUUAAUACACUUUAUACCUUUUUACCUGGCAUUUGUAUUAUCCUGGACUCCAAGCAAUCCUAGGUGGGGAUCAAACCACCAACGCUAUCACCAAGGAGCAGUUUGCCUGCUCCACACUUGUGAGUACCAUUUUAUAUAUUUUAUCACUAGUUUUAUUCAGAGAGCACUAUUAGUUGUCUCUUUUUAGUCUCUUUGAGUGACGAACAUACUCUAAAGGAAGAAGCCUGCACUAUAUCCUACAAGUGGGGAUUGUACCGCUGUAAGCCUUCUACACUAGAGCUAGUUAUCGCUCUUAUACGUGUGAGUGCAAUAUCAUCUUCUUUUACUACUUAUUGUAUUUUAUUGGAUAUACCACACCAUCUGGUCCUUUCUUUUGUGUUUUAUUGUUUCAUAUUUGGAUCCACUAGAGGAAGGCCUACUGAGGACAGUGUUCCUGAAAAAGCACUUUACAGACCUUUAUUUAAAAAGAUUAUUUAACUAAAGACUGUAUAUUUGGUUUAUCAUCAAAUUUUCCUAUAUUUUAUUGGUCCUUUGUGAAGCAACCCUUAUUUCUGUUUUUAUUCUAAGAGUUUUUGAGGGAUUCCCUUAUAGGGUUGCUGCCUUUUUCUUGUUUUUAAGCGCUUGCUCUCUCUUUUGAUUUUUAUGAGGCUGAUGGGAACCUCUUCUCUGUCCUAAUGCUACUGUGUGUGCUAGCCUCCACCCUCCAUUCCUCAUGUGAGGCACCCAGCAGGGAGGCUGAUAUUCAGGGGCUUGGUCAGCUCUUAAAAGGGAUGCAGCACAUAACUGGGCCACUGUUUAGGGAGUAUUAUAAGGGAGAGGGGCGAGAUCAUAUAUAAUAUAAUGGAAGUCACACACAUUGUAUGUCAGAUUGUGUAUGUGAUUUCCGGGAUAUUGUAUAUGAUUAGCUGGUGUCAGGGAGCCGCAUUCAAAAUGCGGGAGUCUCCCAGAACCUUAUCAACAAACAUUAUUACCGGAAAAGACGUCAAUAGAUUUUCUAAAUAAAGUUGCCAAAAAUGAUAGGGUUAUUGACUAAAGUGAGACGUGAAAGUAAAUUCAAACUGAAUUUUAAAUUGUUGGCCAAAGUUAAAGUAUAAGGAGACUUGAAACAUCCGCAAUUGUGUGAUACUUUAGGAAAACUUCAUUUGGAACUCAACCACAGAUGAAUGAAAAUUUUUUUAUACUGUCACUCAAAUUUAUUGAAAUGAAUUAAAUUAACUUUGGCAAUUUUCUGCAGCAAUAAGAAUUGGAAAUAAUAAUGUAGAAGCAAUGGCAAUCUUUCUUUGUUUCCAAGAAAAUAGCAUUUAGCAGUAAUAAAUAAACAAGGUACCGCAUAUACUCGAGUACAAGUCUACCCGAAUAUAAGUCGAGACCCCUAAUUUUACCCCCAAAAAAUGGGAAAACUUAUUGACUCAAGUAUAAGACUAGGGUGGGAAAUGCAGCAGCUAGUGGUAAAUUUCUAAAUAAAAUUAGAUCCCCCAAAAAUUACAUUAAUUGAAUAUUUAUUUUGUGUAUAUAAUGAAUGCAGUGUGUGUGUGUGUGUGUAUGUAUGAAUGCAGUGUGUGUGUAUAUGAUGCAGAGUGUGUAACCUUGGUGGGGGGGGCAUUUUUAUUAUUACUUUUAUUUAUUUUCGUCCCCCCUCCCUGCUUGUUAGCUGGCCAGGGAGGGGGGCUCUCAUUCCCUGGUGGCAUUGGCUGUGUAGGAGGGGGGCUGACAGAGAGCUGUUACCUUCCUGCAGCUCCUGUCAGCUCCCUUCUCUCUCCUCCGUUCCGGUCAGCUCCCUUCUCCUCCAGUGUAAGUCUUGCAGUGUGACUGCCGCGCGGAGCGUUGCCACGGUAACCCGUGGCAACGCUCUUACCCCGGUAACCCGUGGCAACGCUCUUACCCCGCGGCUCUCGCGAGACUUACACUGGAGGAAAAGGGAGCUGACAGGAGAUGCAGGAAGGUAAGUAACAGCUCUCUGUCAGCCCCCAACAGGACCGCUGGGCUUAUAAUGAGCCCGGCGGUCCUUGUCUGUAUUAUGGCAAUGUAAGUUGCCAUAAUACAGACACUCACUCGAGUAUAAGACGAGUGGCGGUUUUUCAGCACAAACAACUUGUCUUAUACUCGAGUAUAUAUGGACUCCUUAAUUAGGAAAUUGUAACAGUCCAUUUGACAUCAAAAUAAGGAAUAGGAGAAACCGGUAAUUCCUGUUUUAGGCAAAUUACACAGUCUCCUAAAUUGCAAUAGUAAAUGAUGAAAUAAAUCAAAUAGAUCCUGUUUGGAAAAUAAUCACAGUCCUUAGAAUCCAAAUAGUAAGUAAAAUAAAUUAGGAAUGAGAAAUCAGUAGUAAUGGUUACGUCCAAUAAAGCAAUUUAGAAGUAACUAAAUCACAGAGAGCAGACAAGUGUAUUCGGGCAUUCGGUGUCUCGUGUACCUGGACGAUUUGCUAAUCUUCUGCGAAUCCGCCUCCAGGCUGAGAUCACAGACGAAAUUUGUUGUUCACUUACUGGAAGCCUUAGGUUUCAUGGUGAACAGACAAAAAUCGUGGCUCUCCCCCGCUCAGUCAAUCCAAUUCCUCUGGUUCGAUAUCGACUCGAAGGAAUGCGUACUUCGGUUACCCCAAACGAAGAUAACCUCGAUACGGAAGGAAAUCAGACAGGUACUGAAAAGGGAUACCAUAACACUCAGGAUGCUCGCCCGGAUCGUGGGGCUCCUCUCCUCCUCCAUACAGGCGAUAUUCCCGGGCCCAUUGCACUACAGAGCCAUGCAACGGCUGAAGGCGGGAUACCUACGCACCGGACAAUCAUACGACAGCUGGAUCCCACUGUUGUCGGAGGUGAGGACAGAACUGCGAUGGUGGUUACUGCACAUUCAAGCGUGGAAUGGCAAGGCGAUCUUCGGCGCCUCCCCAGACUUCAUCGUGGAGUCAGACGCCAGCUUAUGGGGAUGGGGCGCACACUGCACGGACGCCUCCACGGGAGGCCCGUGGCGGGGGGAAGAGACCGAACUCCAUAUCAACUGCCUGGAACUGAUCGCGGGAUCCUUCGCAAUACGCAGUCUGGCCAAGGACAAAUCGAACUGCUGCAUCCUACUCCGCAUGGACAACGUGUCGGCGGUGCAGUACAUCAACCGCCUGGGCGGGGCCAGGUCUCAAGCCCUGACAGAAGCCACGAAAGACAUCUACAAGUUCUGCUUGCACGGAACAUCACGCUACAGGCGGAAUAUCUACCGGGAAUCUCCAACCUGACAGCGGACUGGUUCUCACGUCACUGGCGGGACACCAGCGACUGGACGCUCAACAGAGGGAUAUUCCAAGAACUGCAAAGGUGGAAGAACCCACUCACAAUAGAUUUAUUCGCCUCCAGGACCAACCACCAACUACCGAGGUACUACAGCUGGCUCCCGGACCCGGAGAGUGAGGCGACGGACGCAUUCCUACAGGACUGGCCCACCCAAGGGGCAUAUGCAUUCCCACCGUUCUCCAUGAUUCCACGGGUGUUACGAUAUGCACGCAACCACAGGAUAACGCUCCUACUCAUUACACCCCUUUGGCAGAGCCAACCGUGGUUUCCCGACCUCCUGGAGAUGUCGUACGAGACCCCACUUCUGCUUCCCACCUUCCCUCAAAUCCUGUUUGGACCUAGGGGGGAGACCCACCCCCUCAUCCUGGAAGGACAGCUGGAAAUAGUAGCCUGGACGGUUUCAGGGGCUCCUGGUCAGUCCACGGCCUAUCGCAAUCAGCUAAGGACCUCCUCUGGGAUUCAUGGGCUCCUGGUACCAGGAAAUGCUAUAUUUCCGCAUGGUCGGCCUGGAACGAUUGGUGUGUGGAAAGGGAUUCCAAUCCCUUUACAGCACCUAUCCCACUGAUCCUUAAUUACCUAUCACACCUGUUCAUGUCGGGACGAUCAUAUAGAUCCCUCAAUGUGAUCAGAUCCGCCAUAUCGGCGGCUCACGUCCCGAUCCAGGGCAAGCCGAUAGGCCAAGACCCUCUAAUUUGUCGGCUACUGCGGGGUGCCAAAUUAACGAGGCCCCCAGCGCCCAAAUAUUCACGCCUCUGGCAGGUGGAGGUGGUAUUGAAAUUCCUUAGGGAAUGGCCGGACAACCUCUAUCUGUCGCUGAAACAACUCUCCGCGAAGCUAGCUCUCUUAUUGUGCCUAGUUUCCUUUAGACGUGUAGCAGAUAUCAGAGCGUUCGAUGUGGACGGUUUCUCCCUCACACCAGAAGGGGUUACCUUCAACAUAUCGAGACGCACGAAAACAGACUCAGCGUCAGUGUCUUAUCCAUAUUUUGGAUCAGACCCCAAAUUGUGUGUAGUGAGAGCACUGAUGAGGUAUACCGAGGUCACGAAUUCCCUGCGAACCCGUCCGACGGGUCAGCUCCUGAUUUCAUUUGUGAAACCUCACGGACCAGUGUCCACUACUACACUGGCCAGAUGGAUCCGCUGGCUACUAGCUUUAGCAGGCGUUGAACCUUGCUUCGGAGCGCACUCGGUCAGAGGGGCGGCGGCUUCCCAAGCCUUAUCGGCCGGCGCCUCACUGGCCGACAUUAUGCGCAGCGCAGAUUGGUCGCGAGAGAGUACCUUUAGGACGUUUUACUUUCGACAAACCUCUCAUGCUUCCUUCACGUUAGUCAACUCGAAGCUUUAAAAAUGCAAAUAUGAAGCCUCCUGUCAUGUGGUAAAAUUUAAGAUUAUACUAGCUUUAGUGUACUAAUAAUCUUAAUUUUAGUAAUGACAGGAGGCGAAUAUUUCCCACCCUAUAGGAUCCCUCCCGUAGAUUAUUUGUGUGGAUAUUUAUGUUUUACGUUCAGGAAGACACAUAUUUACCGGGUUAGACUUUCAGACUUAGAUUCUUUCACAGUACGUUUUAUGAGUAUGAGAAUGGUUGUACCGGUUACAGAGUGUAUACCUAUGUCGUUUAGGGUCAGUAAACUUUAGCUUAGAGAAGGAAUUUUUUGAGCUUCAGACAGGGAUGAUGAAAUCAGAUUCCUAAAUGAACUGCAUGCGGACAAAUUUUCAUGCCAGAGACCUUUCACCUUUUUCUUUUUCUUGCAGUAUGAAAAGCCUCAAUACAAGACUAAGAAUCUAUCUUACUACACCUGCAACACGGAAGUUCUGAAGUUGGUCAUGUUCCUAGACUGUUGAUCUGUUGGACGUUUCUUUAUGGUUAUAUAUAUUUACGAUUUUUUAUCAUUUCGCUUCAAAGAAAGAGGAAGUGAUGUCAUAGACAGGGCCUUUUAUGGGCAUUAUAUCUUUUUCUGAUUGGUUGUUUAUGUUACUAUGCUGCUGGAGUUUUGAGUAAAGAAAGAUAUG